rnacentral:misc_RNA from 1 species
CAAGUUAAUGUUGAGCGGCUUGGAGCAUGAUACGACUAAGGAGUUUGAUCUUAAGUUGCAGCCCGAAUUAGAUAUGAUGAAGAUAAAAGAUAAAAAGGAUAGAGGGACUCUUAAUAUCAAGGUAACAUACCACCAAUUCACUAAGGAGGAGCAACUACAGGCUCUUGAAGCCGAGAAAAUAAUAGUAGAAGAGAGGCGGAAACUGAAGGAGGCUGGGGUGAUUGGGAGCACAAUGGAUGCGCUAGGCGGGGCAGCAAACUUGGUUGGAUCAGGUGUUGGGCUUGUUGGUACGGGUCUUGGGGCUGGUGCUGGGCUGGUGGGGAGCGGACUGGGGGCGGUCGGAAGUGGCUUUAGCAAAGCAGGGAAGUUUAUGGGUAAGAGCCUGACCGGUGGUCGGAGGCCCGAAAGCUCGGCCAAAAGCUCCGGAGGAGGCAAUGCUAAUGGAAGCUAAACUUGAGCAUCUAGUCUCGUGACCGGCCAAAAGCUCAGGUGGGGGCAAUGCUAAUGGAAGCUAAACUUGAGCAUCUAGUCUCGUGACCGGCCAAAAGCUCAGGUGGG